rnacentral:sRNA from 1 species
UAUUAAUUCUUUAGCAUGUCUCCACACGGCAUCAGCAAAGGGACAAUUAAAUAGAAUAUGAUUCACCGUUUCGUAUGCUAGAGAUAUGGGUGUCAAAAUGGGUCAAAAUUUAUGGGUCAACUCAACUCAACCCAUGAACCCUAAUGAGUUGAAAAUUUUGACUUAAAUGAGUUGAUGGGUCAAAUGAGUUAUUGGGUCAAUUGGUUUGAUGAGUAAAAUGAGUUGGGUUGUAAUGGUUAAUGGUUUCAAUGGUUUACCCAAUUAACCCAUCAAGUUUUGUAAAAUUGAAUUAAACCAACCAAAAUCUCUAAACCAAUGCUAAUUUAAGUUUAACCAACACAUCUAAACCAAUUUAAUAAAAUCAAUAUUUUUCCAAAUUUCUUAAAUAUACAAGCGAUGAAAUUGAGAAAAAGUAAACCCGUGAUUUUCCCGCCAAAAACGUAAAUCCGUGAUUUUCAAACCAAAAACGAAAACUCGUGAUUUUCCCAACAAAAAACAUAAACUCGUGAUUUUCCCGCCAAAAAUGAAAACCCGUGAUUUUCCCGCCAAAAACGUAUAAUGGUAAUUUUCCCGCCAAAAACGUAAACCCGUGAUUUUCCCGCCAAAAAACGUAAACCCAUGAUUUUCCCGCCAAAAACGUAAAUCCGUGAUUUUCCCGUCAAAAACGUAAACCCGUGAUUUUCCCGCCACAAACGUAAACUUGUAAUUUUCCCGCUAAAAACGUAAAUCCAUAUUUUCCCGCCAAAAACGUAAACCCGUAAUUUUCUCGCCGAAAACGUAAACCCGUAAAAAGUGGAAUCCGUAAAUAUCCUAAGUUUGAUGAUAAUGAAUUAAUAAUUAUUAAUAAUGAUAAUUAUUUAUUAUUAUUUUAUAAUAAUAAUUAAUUAAAUUAUUACUUAAAUUAUUACUUAACCCAUUUAACAACUCAACCCAUCAAAUUAAAUGAGUUAUGGGUUGACUCAACCCAUCAAAUUAAAUGAGUUAUGGGUUGACCCAACCCAUUUAACAAAAUGAGUUGGGUCAACCCAUAACUCAUUUAACAAAAUGAGUUGGGUCAACCCAUAACUCAUUUAACCCUAAACUCAUUUGAUUAUAAGUUGAGUUGAGUUGGUUUACCUAUUUUGACACCCCUAACUAGACAACCUUUUUGACAAUUUAUGUGAAAAUUAUUCCAAACUUUUUUAUGCAGCAGAUUAUUGUUAAAGGUUAUAAAAAGCACAUUAAUUAAAUAAAUAAAAAAUGGCAAACAAUCAAGACAUUACUUUUCUAAUGCUAUUUUAUCAUCUUCGAUGUAUUUUAAUGAAUUUUUAUUUUAAGACUAUGCGAUACGGUCCAAGUUAAUCAUUAAAGUUAGACUAAGAAA